UNNGAGUGGGCGGNNUGCUACACAUGCAAGUCGAACGCGAACGUCAUCUUCGGAUGGCUAUUAGAGUGGCGAACGGGUGAGUAACACGUGGGCAACCUGCCCUGAAGUGGGGAAUAAUCUUCCUAACGGAGGACUAAUACCGCAUAACACGGAAAAAUCGCAUGUUUUUUUCGUUAAAGAUUUAUCGCUUCAGGAUGGGCCCGCGUCCCAUUAGCUAGUUGGUAAGGUAAAGGCUUACCAAGGCUACGAUGGGUAGCUGGUCUGAGAGGAUGAUCAGCCACACUGGGACUGAGAUACGGCCCAGACUCCUACGGGAGGCAGCAGUGAGGAAUAUUGCGCAAUGGGCGAAGGCUUGACGCAGCAACGCCGUGUGAGCGAUGAAGCCUUUCGGGGUGUAAAGCUCUGUCAGAAGGGAAGAACAAUUCCGAUUUGUCGGAAUCUGACGGUACCUUCAGAGGAAGCACCGGCUAACUCCGUGCCAGCAGCCGCGGUAAUACGGAGGGUGCAAGCGUUGUCCGGAUUUAUUGGGCGUAAAGGGUGCGUAGGCGGAUUAGUUAGUCGGAAGUGAAAUCUCUACCGCUUAACGGAGAGUGUGCUUUCGAUACUGCUAAUCUAGAGUUCAGGAGAGGGUGAUGGAAUUCCUGGUGUAGCGGUGGAAUGCGUAGAUAUCAGGAAGAACACCGGUGGCGAAGGCGAUCACCUGGACUGACACUGACGCUGAUGCACGAAAGCGUGGGGAGCAAACAGGAUUAGAUACCCUGGUAGUCCACGCCGUAAACGAUGGGCACUAGGUGCCGGGCGAUUCGACCCGUUCGGUGCCGCAGCUAACGCAUUAAGUGCCCCGCCUGGGGAGUACGAUCGCAAGGUUGAAACUCAAAGGAAUUGACGGGGGCCCGCACAAGCGG
rnacentral:rRNA from 1 species